AUUGAACGCUGGCGGCAGGCCUAACACAUGCAAGUCGAGCGGAUGAAGGGAGCUUGCUCCUGGAUUCAGCGGCGGACGGGUGUGUAAUGUCUAGGAAUCUGCCUGGUAGUGGGGGAUAACGUCCGGAAACGGGCGCUAAUACCGCAUACGUUCUGAGGGAGAAAGUGGGGGAUCCUCGGACCUCACGCCAUCAGAUGAGCCUAGGUCGGAUUAGCUAGUUGGUGGGGUAAAGGCCUACCAAGGCGACGAUCCGUAACUGGUCUGAGAGGAUGAUCAGUCACACUGGAACUGAGACACGGUCCAGACUCCUACGGGAGGCAGCAGUGGGGAAUAUUGGACAAUGGGCGAAAGCCUGAUCCAGCCAUGCCGCGUGUGUGAAGAAGGUCUUCGGAUUGUAAAGCACUUUAAGUUGGGAGGAAGGGCAGGAAGUUAAUACCUUGCUGUUUUGACGUUACCAACAGAAUAAGCACCGGCUAACUUCGUG
rnacentral:rRNA from 1 species